GGUCCUGUGGUGUAGUGGUUAUCACGUCUGCUUUACACGCAGAAGGUCCCCGUUUCGAUCCCGGAAAGGUCCU
rnacentral:tRNA from 1 species